rnacentral:misc_RNA from 1 species
UUUUCUUUACUUCCAGCACUUCCAACAACAUAACAGCCCAUCAACUUUGCAAAUUGGCCAACAAGCUGACCAACAGCGCCAGAGGCUGCUGAAAUGAAAACACGGUCUCCUUUCUUGGGAGAANNNNNNNNNNGAAACCUCAUAAAAACCAGCAUAAGCAGUCACUCCAGGCAUACCAAGAAUUCCUGUAUAGUAUGAAACGG